CCUACGGGUGGCAGCAGUGAGGAAUAUUGGUCAAUGGGAGAGAUCCUGAACCAGCCAAGCCGCGUGAGGGAAGACGGCCCUAUGGGUUGUAAACCUCUUUUGUCGGAGAACAAAACCCGGGACGUGUCCCGGACUGCGUGUAUCCGAAGAAAAAGCAUCGGCUAACUCCGUGCCAGCAGCCGCGGUAAUACGGAGGAUGCGAGCGUUAUCCGGAUUUAUUGGGUUUAAAGGGUGCGUAGGCGGUCAGUUAAGUCAGCGGUAAAAUUGCGGGGCUCAACCCCGUCGAGCCGUUGAGACUGGCAGUAUUGAGUUGGGGAGAAGUACGCGGAAGGCGCGGGUGAGCGGUGAAAGUCAUAGAUAGCGCGCAGAACUCCGAUUGCGAAGGCAGCGUACCGGCGCCAGACUGACGCUGAGGCACGAAAGCGUGGGGAUCGAACAGGAUUAGAUACCCCUGUAGUC
rnacentral:rRNA from 1 species